ACACGUGGGUAACCUGCCUUAUAGUGGGGGAGUAGCCUUUCGAAAGGAAGAUUAAUACCGCAUAAGAUUGUAGUAUCGCAUGAUAUAGCAAUUAAAAGGAAGCAAUUCGCUAUAAGAUGGACCCGCGUCGCAUUAGCUAGUUGGUGAGGUAAUGGCUCACCAAGGCGACGAUGCGUAGCCGACCUGAGAGGGUGAUCGGCCACAUUGGGACUGAGACACGGCCCAGACUCCUACGGGAGGCAGCAUG
rnacentral:rRNA from 1 species